UGCGAACGCCCCUCGUCAUCGAUCGCAUCCACUAAACGCACCAAUGUCAUCUGAUAGAUCGUGUGAAGUUUAUAUUCUGUCAAAGAAAGUGACUGUAGGGAGAGAUGAGAAGAAUGUGAAUUUGAAGCGUAACACAUUGAAUUUGUUGCUUACUAAAAAGUCAUUAUUAUCUAUAAAAUCAUACUUUAAAUUGCCAUUUGAAGACUAUUUGCCAUUGAGAUAUUGCGGUAUAGUGAAUUGGUAAAAAUAGGUAAAAAUCACUAAUAAUUUCUUGAACUAAUGUCAAUAUAAACUAAAAUUUGUUCCUAGAAUUGAAAAUAGGUUAGGCGAACUAUCAUUCCCAUUGGAAGCGGCGUUUUGUAGAUAGUGUGUAAUUCCUUGAAGGGUGAGAUUUGAAAUCCACUGUGAUUUAUGAUUUACAAUUCGCUGAUUUAGAUCAUAUUUUGAGCAGGACUCCGCAAUAUAACCGCCAACAGAAUUCUUAUUUCGGGUCAGAAUACGACAGAACCACUAAACGUAAGUCGCAAGGUAAUUCACACAAACUAUUGCUCUUCUUAUGUUCAUGUAUCCAUUCUAGGAAAUUUUAACGCAGUUAAAUAUAUCGUUUAAAAUUCGGAAAUCUGUGUUCUUCGAGUUGUUUCAUCAACAGUUUAAAAUUUCGUUUACCCGAAUUAAGUGGAUUCGAAGAUGUCGCGAUGGCAAGAACACGACGAGAACAGCCUGGAGCAGAGCUGUCUAUGUGGCCUACCGGAAACAAGCCAGAUGGUCAGUUGUGAUGAAUGCCAAAGGUGGUACCACUUCGCAUGUGUUGGCGUAACCGAAGCCAUCGCCGAUUACGAUUGGAGCUGUCAGAGAUGCCUUAAUGCCAGAAUCUCCGCUCCAUUUUCGGCCACGUCUAUCAUUCCACCAGCAAACCGUAAUUCUACCACCAGCGCAAUAAUCCCACCACCCCCAUUAUUCAUUCCGAAUUCAUCAGAAGGGCCGGCUGCAAGCUGUUCAAUGUUUGCUGGUUCGUCCACAAUCCAUCCGCCACCACUGCCACCGUCAUCAAGCGGAAUAAAUGACCAAGCACGUACAUAUCGAAGUUUUAUGUCGAUUCCACUGGCUCAACCGGUAAUGACAACGGCUCCGUCCGAGCAACCGACUCACGCGAAUGCUCCUGCAGUUCCUCCAGAGCGUCAGCAAUUGAUUUCGCAACUGCCGCCGGAUUUGAGAAUUCGAUUCCUAGAAGAAGAGCAGGCCAUCGAAAUGCGGCAUUUAUUUGAGCGGUAUCAGCUACUGUUGGACAGAACACCAGCCUCAACGAUCCCCAGUCAACCAGCUGUACUGUCAUCGAGUAGUGCAUCGAAUGCAGCACCACAGUGUCAUGUAUUUUCGGCUCAUCAACCACGCAUGGCAACUGUCAGUCUUCCGCCCGCUCCAAUUCUACCUAACCCACAGUAUCAUUCCUCUCCAGUACAAAAUCAGCGGAGCUCCAAUAGGCAGUACCAUGAUGGAAUCGGCUGUCAAUAUCAGCCUCAGCCCUCACCGGUGCAAAACAAUGCGAACCAACGAGAAUUUCAUCACGCCAACCCGUUGGUGUCGACCAGAUACGGAAAUGAAACGACACUACUCAACAGAAGCCAAAUUGCCGCUCGUCAAGCGGUAUCGAAAGAUCUUCCGGAAUACAGUGGCGAUCCGGAACAGUGGCCACUAUUUUACGGGACCUUCGAGAGCACAACGCGUAUCUGUGGGUACACCCCUGAAGAAAACAUGAUGCGACUGCAAAAAUGCCUUAAAGGAAGGGCUCUCGAGGCUGUGCAUUGUCAGCUACUCCAUCCAGGGAACCUUGAUAGUGUACUAGCCACACUUAAAAUGCUCUUUGGACGACCAGAAAUAAUUGUACAUUCUCUAGUCCAAAAAAUUCAGUCGCUACCCGCACCCAAAGCCGACAGACUGAACACGUUGAUUGAUUUUGCCAUAGCAGUGAGGAACAUGGUGGCGACAGUACAUAAUUGUAAUUUGGAUGAGCAUUUGUGUAACAUGUCGCUUCUACAGAGUUUAGUAGAUCGUUUGCCUCCCAUGAUCCGCUUGAACUGGGCGACAUACCGUCAGGGUUUGUUUCGAGUCACGUUAACGGAAUUCAGCGCGUGGCUAUACACACUCGCUGAGGCAGCUAGUACGGUUACAAUUCCACACAUCCAAAACGAGCCCGAUCGACCACGUCGUACCAGGAAGGAAGAAGGUUUUUUUAAUGCGCACACCGAAACUACUUUGAGACAAACGGAUGGACAAUCCGCUGGCAGAUCCACAGGAUGCGUUAUUUGCAAAGAAAAUUGUGGAAGUUUGGAACGAUGCAGACAGUUUCUAGCCCAGGAUCAUCCAGGCCGCUGGAGUUUGCUUCGCGAGUUCAAACUUUGCCGCAGUUGUUUGGGAACACAUCAAGGUCCAUGCAGAUUCGUCAAAGUUUGCGGCAAGAACGGAUGUACUUUUAAGCAUCAUAGCUUGUUACACAACGACGCUAGAGAUAAACGUCCUUCUCCGAAUGUCGCGAAUCUCCAAGAACUCGUGAGCGACCAAAACGUUAACAAUCAUACCUGCAACACCCAUCGAGGGGACAAUAAAUCAGUAUUGUUUCAAUAUAUUCCGGUCACUCUGCACAACCAGGGCGUUAAAAUACGCACUUACGCCUUCCUGGACUUGGGAUCUUCGGUAACGUUGCUAGAAGAGAGUCUUGCUACGAAGCUACAGCUCAAAGGAAAAACACACCCACUCUGCCUUCGCUGGACUGCCGAUACUUGCCGCUUCGAAAACUCAGCUACGAUCGUGACUGUGGAAGUUUCCGGAGUGCGCAAGGAGGACAGCAAAUAUCGCCUUUCGGAAGUAUAUACGGUGAAGGAUUUAAAGCUACCCACGCAGUCACUUCCCUUCGGACAACUUUCUACCGAGUAUACACACCUAGGAGGAAUACCAGUGGACUCGUACUCAAAUAUUCAACCACGCAUCAUGAUCGGCAUGAACAACGCUCGGGUCAUACAUUCUAUCGAAAGUCGAGAAGGAGAAGAACAUGAGCCCAUUGCAGCUAAAACAAGAUUGGGAUGGAUGAUUUUUGGCACAUGUUUCACCGAUAAUCAAGCUACUGCGACUACUAUUCCGCACAGUUUCCACGUUUGCCAUCACGUAGCAGAAACCGAUAUAGAAUUGAACACCGCAGUUAAGGAAUAUUUUGCUCUGGAAGGAUUGGGCAUUUCAAAACCAGCUAAACCAUUACUCUCCACCGAGGACGAGCGCGCUACCAAGAUGAUGCGUUCUCUGACGCUUUUCGAUAACGGAAGAUAUCGUACUGGUUUGUUAUGGAAGUAUGAUGACGUCCGGCUCCCCGAUAGCAGACCGAUGGCAUUGCGUCGCCACAACUGCCUGAUGAAACGAAUGGAAAGAGAUGUUGAUCUGGCUGCAACACUGAAGGCAAAAAUGAACGAGUAUAUUGCGAAAGGCUACAUUCGUGAACUUUCGCCGUUUGAGAAGCAGAAAAUAGUGGACCGUGUCUGGUACUUACCCAUAUUCCCCGUGUUCAAUCCGAACAAACCUAACAAAGUGAGGAUUGUAUGGGAUGCAGCGGCCGCCGUUGGCCGAAUAUCACUAAACGACGUUCUGAUGAAAGGGCCCGACCUCCUGACGGCUCUACCUUUCGUGUUGUACAGAUUUAGAGAAAAACCAAUUGCCGUAUCGGGUGAUAUUGCCGAAAUGUUUCUACGGAUUCGAAUGAACGAUGAUGAUCAACAAUGCCAGCGUAUUCUGUGGUGCAACCAAGACGGCACAGUCGGAGAAUAUGUUGUUACAGUGAUGACCUUUGGCGCCAAGUGCUCUCCAAGCUGCGCCCAGUUCGUCGUUAAUCAGAACGCUGCGAGAUUCAAAUCGAAUUACCCGGAGGCAGUAGAAGUCAUCGAGAAAGGCCACUAUGUCGACGACAUGUUGGCAAGUGUCGAUACUGAAGAAGCUGCCAUCAAACUUGUGGAAGAUGUGCGCUACAUACACCAACAAGGCGGAUUCAACAUGAGGAACUGGAAGUCCAAUUCCCAAGCUGUUUUACGAGCACUAGGAGAAACUGGAUCACCGGAAAAGAACUUGGAUGUGGGCGAGGAACAAGUUUUGGAAAAGGUCCUUGGUAUGUGGUGGGACACCAAUACAGACACCUUCCGUUACAAGCUCUCCACUGAACGAAACCAAGAGCUUCUCUUUGGCCAUAAACAUCCCACGAAACGUGAUGUUCUCCGUGUACUUAUGUCGGUGUACGACCCUCUUGGCCUGCUAUCCCAUUAUAUGAUAUCUCUGAAACUGUUAUUUCAAGAGAUUUGGCGAGAGGGUACAUCCUGGGAUGACAAAAUCGGUCUGAAACAGUUAGACAAGUGGAAGGAUUGGCAGGGAUCGCUCCAUGAGGCCGAAUCGGUCCGGAUCCCUCGAUGCUACGAUGUGUCGCCUUCGUUAGGAUCAGAAAGGAUUGUGGAACUUCACACGUUCGUUGACGCCAGCGAACUAGGGUACGCUGCGGUCAGCUACUUCCGGUUCAUUGAGGGGACACGAAUUUCUUGUUCGUUGGUCGCGUCGAAAAGUAGAGUUGCUCCUCUUAAAUUUGUGUCUAUACCCAGGCUCGAACUUCAAGCCGCGGUAAUUGGUUGCCGUUUGGCGGCAAGUAUUGGACAAGGACACUCGAUCAAAAUCCAAAGGAGAUAUUUUUGGACGGACGCUCGCGAUGUUAUGUGCUGGCUUAAAGCGGAUCAUCGGAAAUAUUCCCAAUACGUCGCCUUUCGAGUUGGGGAAAUUUUAGAAAUGACAGAAAUUUCGGAAUGGCGAUGGCUGCGAGGAAAAUCAAAUGUAGCUGACGAAGGCACCAAGUGUGGUAAUCACCCGAGCUUCAACAUGAGCAGCCGCUGGUUUGCUGGGCCUCCAUUUUUGUGGAAACAUUGUUCAGAGUGGCCAACCGAAUCAAUCAACCAAGAAACCACAGUAGAACUCAGGUCGCACCUUUUACAUCAUUGUACCCCAGUUGGAAGUGACAUUUUGCGAGUUGAGGAUUAUUCCAAUUGGACCCGUUUGCGUCGUAUCUCUGCGUGGAUGUUUCGGUUUUCCGGUAACAUAAAACGAAAAAUAACUGGUGAGACACUACUUCAAGGGCCGCUUACUAGUGAGGAGCUUCGAGCAGCGGAAAAUUAUCUGUACAAGCGUACACAAUGGGAACGAUACGCUGAAGAAAUGCGAACAUUAUCUAGCAGUGAUGGACCUGUAAGUAAACCGAGCUUGCCCAAAACCAGUGCUUUGUACAAGUUAACUCCCAGCCUCGACGACGAAGGUGUAAUGCGAAUACAUAGUCGUUUAGACAUUUCUGAUUUCACUGGUAAGAGCACACAAUUUCCCAUUGUGCUGCCGCGGAGUCAUCCGCUCACCAAGUUGGUACUACAAAGCUUCCACGAAAAAUAUCAUCACCAGUGCAACGAAACCUUUGUUAAUGAGGCCCGAAGGAAGUUCUACAUACCAAAAAUUCGAGUUGAAUGUAAUAGAAUUCGCAAAGAAUGUCAGCGUUGCAAAAUCCGUCUGGCAACACCUACCCCUCCAAUAAUGGCGAAUUUACCAAAGCAACGACUAGCAGCGUAUGUUCGCCCCUUUUCAUACUCAGGCGUGGACUAUUUUGGACCAUACCAGGUAAUCGUCAGGCGCCGCCCGGAAAAACGUUGGGGGGUAUUAAUAACCUGCUUGACUACUCGUGCUAUACAUAUUGAAAUAGCGCACAGUCUUUCAACGGACUCAUGUAUAAUGGCUCUAGAGAAUUGUUUCGCAAGACGAGGAACUCCACUACAAAUAAUUAGCGAUAGGGGAACAAAUUUUGUAGGUGCUUCGAAAGAGCUUAAAGAAGCACUAGCCCUUAUCGACGAUCACAAACUGGCAAUGGAGUUCACAAGCCCAUCCACGUCAUGGAAGUUUAAUCCACCUGCGUCUCCACAUAUGGGGGGCGCCUGGGAGCGCAUGAUACAGACCGUUAAGAAAGUUUUGGCUGAGAUCAAACCGAAACACUCACCCUCCGACGAAGUCCUAAGAAAUUUGAUGAUCAAAAUAGAAAACGUUGUGAACAGCAGGCCAUUAACCCACGUUCCCGUUGACGACGAGUCUUCACCCGCUUUGACGCCGAAUCAUUUUUUAGUUGGUUCCUCGAAUGGCUCAAAACCUCUUGUACCAUUCAAUGACUGUCCUACUAUGAUUCGCAACUCCUGGAAAACAUCAGACGUUCUGGCGAACUAUUUCUGGCGUCGAUGGGUUACUGAAUACUCUCCUGACAUUGCUCGGCGCACAAAAUGGUUCAGCACAAAUAAGGACAUCGCUGUUGGAGAUAUAGUUAUUAUUGUGGAUCCCGCAUUUCCUAGAAAUUGUUGGCCUAAGGGGAAAGUACUGGAAGUUAAAACCUCGAAGGAUGGACACGUGCGAUCAGCUGUAGUUCAGACCAUUUCCGGCAUCUACGAAAGACCAGCGGUGAAAUUGGCUGUACUGGACAUCGGGGCAAAUGGAAGUAAUUCGAACCAGGGUUGAAGUACUGGGGGGGAGUGUUGCGAACGCCCCUCGUCAUCGAUCGCAUCCACUAAACGCACCAAUGUCAUCUGAUAGAUCGUGUGAAGUUUAUAUUCUGUCAAAGAAAGUGACUGUAGGGAGAGAUGAGAAGAAUGUGAAUUUGAAGCGUAACACAUUGAAUUUGUUGCUUACUAAAAAGUCAUUAUUAUCUAUAAAAUCAUACUUUAAAUUGCCAUUUGAAGACUAUUUGCCAUUGAGAUAUUGCGGUAUAGUGAAUUGGUAAAAAUAGAAUUGAAAAUAGGUUAGGCGAACUAUCAUUCCCAUUGGAAGCGGCGUUUUGUAGAUAGUGUGUAAUUCCUUGAAGGGUGAGAUUUGAAAUCCACUGUGAUUUAUGAUUUACAAUUCGCUGAUUUAGAUCAUAUUUUGAGCAGGACUCCGCAAUAUAACCGCCAACAGAAUUCUUAUUUCGGGUCAGAAUACGACAGAACCACUAAACGUAAGUCGCAAGGUAAUUCACACAAACUAUUGCUCUUCUUAUGUUCAUGUAUCCAUUCUAGGAAAUUUUAACGCAGUUAAAUAUAUCGUUUAAAAUUCGGAAAUCUGUGUUCUUCGAGUUGUUUCAUCA